rfam:Onchocerca flexuosa genome assembly, scaffold: OFLC_scaffold0000474
GAAGCUUUGUACUUCGGCUAAGGUGCUGCUACGCUUAUGGGACAACACCUUGGUUAGGUACAAUGCUCAA